rnacentral:rRNA from 1 species
UACGUAGGGUGCAAGCGUUAAUCGGAAUUACUGGGCGUAAAGCGUGCGCAGGCGGUUUGGUAAGACAGAUGUGAAAUCCCCGGGCUUAACCUGGGAAUUGCAUUUGUGACUGCCCGGCUAGAGUGUGUCAGAGGGGGGUAGAAUUCCGACGUGUAGCAGUGAAAUGCGUAGAGAUGUGGAGGAAUACCGAUGGCGAAGGCAGCCCCCGUGGGAUAACGACUGACGCUCAUUGCACGAA